rnacentral:rRNA from 1 species
AUUGAACGCUGGCGGCAGGCCUAACACAUGCAAGUCGAGCGGAUGAAGGGAGCUUGCUCCUGGAUUCAGCGGCGGACGGGUGAGUAAUGCCUAGGAAUCUGCCUGGUAGUGGGGGAUAACGUCCGGAAACGGGCGCUAAUACCGCAUACGUCCUGAGGGAGAAAGUGGGGGAUCGUCGGACCUCACGCUAUCAGAUGAGCCUAGGUCGGAUUAGCUAGUUGGUGGGGUAAAGGCCUACCAAGGCGACGAUCCGUAACUGGUCUGAGAGGAUGAUCAGUCACACUGGAACUGGGACACGGUCCAGACUCCUACGGGAGGCAGCAGUGGGGAAUAUUGGACAAUGGGCGAAAGCCUGAUCCAGCCAUGCCGCGUGUGUGAAGAAGGUCUUCGGAUUGUAAAGCACUUUAAGUUGGGAGGAAGGGCAGUAAGUUAAUACCUUGCUGUUUUGACGUUACCAACAGAAUAAGCACCGGCUAACUUCGUG